rnacentral:snoRNA from 1 species
AAGACUAUACUUUCAGGGAUCAUUUCUUUAGUCCUUGACUUGAGAAAUGUGUUUCUAAAGAGUUUGGUCUCGCUGCCCACGAUGAAGAGUGACGAUGUUUCCUUCAGAGCAGGAAACUGGUGGGAAGACUUUGUUUCUUCUCCACUGUUGAAGACACUGAUGGAGGAAACAUGAUCUGAGUGGA